GCCCCACAGCAUGAUGCUGCCACCGCCAUGCUGCUUUAGAUCAGAGCUCGGUCUGGUUCUGGUCGUGUUGAAUGGAUUCUUCCUGAGGAGCUUCAGCUAAAGCCACAGUGGGAAAAUAAAACAGUAUGAAAUGCUGAUGUUGUCCCUGUUUAAUGCUUUAUGAAGCUAAUCUGUGAUAGUCUGAGCUAAUCUGAGCUAGUCUGAGCUAAUCUGUGCUAGUCUGAGCUAAUCUGAGCUAAUCUGUGCUAGUCUGAGCUAGUCUGUGCUAAUCUGUGCUAGUCUGAGCUAAUCUGUGCUAGUCUGAGCUAAUCUGAGCUAAUCUGUGCUAGUCUGAGCUAAUCUGAGCUAGUCUGAGCUAAUCUGUGCUAGUCUGAGCUAAUCUGAGCUAGCAGGCUGAAUGUGGCUGAUCUUCUGCAGCUCUCAGGCCUCACUGAUAUUUUUCUCUGUGUUUCAGAAACAAGUUUGUCGGGACGUUUUGGUCUCGUUCCAUUUCUUCAGCCUGAUGCUCGACUUGCUCCAUUUCCAGGUGUUUGAACUUUGACACCAAUUUGUUUUUAUCUGAGUUUCUAUCAAGUUCUGCAUCAUGCUCUCAACUUCUUCUAACAAACAAACUGCCAGCAGUUUAACUUGUUUGUUGCUUUAACCAGGUUCAUAAUCUAAAGAGUUUUUGGAGGAAAUGUUCUACUUUCUUCUACCUACAGCAGCUCUAUAGACUCAGAGUUGUUCAGUCUUUGACUUUCAGCAGCUCAAAUCCAACUUCCUGUCCCGCUUUGGUGAUUUCCUGCAGCCAAUCACAGCUCAGCUCAGCCUGCUACGUAUCGCUUACGUCACAGGCGGCUGAGUUUGUAAAGGUCCUGUGUUUACAGAGUAUCGCUUUAAUUUACCCAAAACUCUGUAAAAUAAAUUCUGAAUUCACUUGAAAUAAAUAUGUUGGAAAAUAAAUAAAUAUACAGGCUGUAAAACAUCCAAACUGUACAAAAUAAAUAUUUGUGGUUUUGUGUCUAAAAUCGCAGAUUUAAUCCAACAUGAACAGGAAGGUUCAGUUUUAAUGAAUCUGGAGAAAAACCUUCAUGUUUAUUUGGAGAAAAGAUGCCGGGAUAUUUUUAUGAACAUGUUUCAUGUUGUCUGUAAACAAGCUGCAGAUCAUUGGAGGAUCUACUGUAGCUGCUCACUGGCUGGAUGAUCUGGUUAGAUCACUCAGAUAGAUCACUGGAGGAUCCAGCUGAGUUUGGAGAGCUGAUCUGUUUUCUCCAUCAUCUCCAGUCGGUUCUUUUCAUUAAAUGCAGCUUGUUUUGAAGAUGGUUUAUAAUAUUGUAUUUAAUAUGUUCUAGUUUCUCCCCACAGAUCAAAUCUGUCAGCAGGUGAAACAUGUUAGCUUAGCGCUGCGGCCGCGAGGCUUCAGACGGAAAAACUACCGACAAAUUAUAAAAAAAAUAAUCUUUAAACUGUCAACAAAAUACCGAUAAAAUACACAAAAAUUAAUUAAUUAAAAUAAAAAUUUGCUGUCAAAGUAACGGCAAUGCACGCAGCUCUCAGGCUGCCAGGGGCCGAGCCCUGGUAGCGCGUUAGCAUUAGCAUAACUAAUGUUAACAAUUAGUGCUUUUAGCAUUAGCGGAGUUAGCUCUUUAGUUAGCGGCGCUCACCACUGAUCAGGUUGCUGGUUCUGAACCUUAAUGCUCAGUCGGGUCUCUGAGGUGGAGAACCAUCAGAACCGGAACCAUUUGAGUCCAGUUAGCGCCUCUGUUGAGAAGGACCUCGCUGCAGCAAACAGAAAGGGGCGGGGACGGACCUUUCCGUCAGUCCCAUACCUUAUUUGGAAAUGGGACUAUUGCAUUCCGGAAAUGAAGGGGGCGCUAUUUUCAUAAUCACUAGUAUAAAUACCUUAAGACGCGGAGUUAAGAGGAACAGAAGAAGAAAGAAAGAAGUUUGAGAGGUUCUUCCACUGGUGUUCGGCUCACGAUCAACAAUGCAAAACUCACAAAGUCAACAAAAGGUAUUUUUACGUUCUUAAAUUUUUUCACAUAGCAAAUCAAUACGCUUUUCUAGAUUAGGUUGAAAAUACAAUUAACAGCUGUAAACUAGUAAAUUCGUAAUUCAUACAGGGGAAGGCUAAUUUUAGCAUGUAGCAUAGCUAAUUAUUAUCCCGCAGGGCACCAUUAGAUAAAAAUAGAAAAGUAGAUAACAUGUAUAAUUGAGAAAUGUAUUUUAUGCUCAAACUGUUUUUUAUUUUCAUUAUACAGAUCCACGUAUCUAUUUGCAACAUGAACGAUAAAUAUUGCUGGUCCCUUUGCUCAUACAAGCUACAGAACCAUUUAGCACAAACUGCUAUGGUUCAACAUAACGAUGCCUCUGAAUGUUCUUGAAGCUGUUCUCCAGGAGGUGGCGCUAGCACAGGGAGACUCAGCUUAUCUCACCUUGGCAUUGACCUGCAGGUGCUUUGAAGCCGUUGUGUCUGAGCCAGUUUUCAGGAAGAAGACUCACUUUGCUUGGCUGGAUGGUGAGAUCAACUGGGGCAAAUUUUCAAAAAACAUUCACGGCAGAAAACCGGAUUCCUUUUGCGGUUGUAACGUGUUCUUCCUGCAACCGGUAAUAUAAAGACUGUGGGCUUCACCGGCGAUGGAAGACGAGGAGAGUACCCUGGUUACUACUGUGAUGGCCGACCUGGACACUGCACUGACUGUCAAUACUGAAUGCAAGGAGAAUAUUAGUUGCUUUCCACAGUCUUUCACACAUUUCAGUUGUCACACAUUGUUAGUUUAUUUUGUGACAUGCCAUUUUAAAUCAUUUCUGCUAAAUA